AUCCUUUCAAGCUCUGAAACCACAAACAAGCACCCAUAGACUACUACACUUGAACCAGUCCAGCCUUCUCUCAAUCCAACAGCCAUAUUCUCCCACCUAUCAGUUCUUGGAUCAUAUACCUGACCCCUAGGAGAGACAAAAAAUGGCCACAACCAGCCUUCUGUCACAAGAAGCUUCCCUUCAAGAACUGCUGCAUCAUAAGAUGCCAUAUUAGUUCCCAUGCUUGCAAUGCAGCGCCAUUUCCCCUUGACAGGAUCCAAAACCUCUGCUGAGUCAAGCUCAAAAAGAUUAGUACUGUUUCCUCCAGCUACAUAUAUCAUCCCAUCAAUUACCCCACUUGCAAAAAAUGAUCUGGCUGCAAUCAUUUGAUUCAUCACAGUCCAACGAUUUUUUUGCAUCUCAUACUUCAAGACCAAAUCAAGGGGGCAAUCCACAUCAGAGACCAUACCCCCACAAACAAAGAGUGUACCAUCAAGGGGUAUUGAUGCACACCUAAAUCCAUGAGGGCAGACCCUCUCCUUACAGGGCAUUACUGGGAUAGUGUGCCAUGAGAAGUGGGUAAGAUCUAGAACUUGCCACUGAAUUUUCCCAGUGCAUUUGUGGAAAGCAAAGACAAAGAGCCAAGGGUCCUUAAAGCCAAGUUCCUUUCUACGGGUGAAGAACCGCUCCUUAUUACCAAGUAGUAAAUGCCAUCGCUUGCAAACUGUUCUACAGGCUGCAUGGCUCUGGACUGGAAGCCGGAGAAGACAGUUAAGGGCAACAUCAUCAGGAAGCCCAGGAAUUAAGGGUUCGCCUUGGAGAGAUGACUCCAGCUCUGAUGAAGGGCUUAACAAAGAAGAUUGGAUCAUAGCUAAUCUAAACUUAGGAGAUAAUGCCAUCUGGGAAUCCCCUAGCUUAUGUACAGGUGC
rnacentral:misc_RNA from 1 species